AAUAUAAUUUUUUUGGACUGGUAAAGACAAAAGGAGUUGACUAGUUGCUAUGACACUGUGUAUAACAACUUCAUAUGGCAUCUCAAAAUGAAGGAACUAAGCACGUGCAAAGAAGGAGGACAACAAAGAUCCACCAUAAGUUGAGAUGUUUGUUGUAACUCGUACAAACAAAAAAGGAGAGACUGAUUCGGGAACACAAGAGACGAUUGAUCAUAUUUAAAAUUUGAAACAAGCAGGAUACAGUGAUGAUGAGGCAGUUCAAACAGUUUUUGGAAAGGAAAGACAUGGUAGAGUUCGUUUCUAUGGUCGAUCAGUCACAAAAUCCUCUCUUAAAAAGGAUAAGCAAAUCCGACAAAUGCAACAACAACAUACUGAAGUGGUUUCAACUAUGGAG